rnacentral:pre_miRNA from 2 species
GGAAACCCGGAAACUACUGUUGGAUUGAAAAAUAGACGUUUGAGAUUUGUCCAUGUCAUCACGAGUAAAAAUUUUACUCGCAGAUUUACUCAUGAGUAGAAAUUUUAUUUGGUGUCGUGGACGAAUCUCGUACAUCUAUUUUUCGAUCCAACGGCAGUUUCCAGAUUUCC